rnacentral:rRNA from 1 species
UUCCUACGGGAGGCAGCAGUGAGGAAUCUUGCGCAAUGGGCGAAAGCCUGACGCAGCGACGCCCGUGGAGGACGAAGGUCUUCGGAUUGUAAACUCCUGUCGAGAGGGACGAAUGCCGUGAGGGUGAACAAUCCUCGCGGUUGACGGUACCUCCAGAGGAAGCCCCGGCUAACUCCGUGCCAGCAGCCGCGGUAAUACGGAGGGGGCCAGCGUUGUUCGGAAUCAUUGGGCGUAAAGGGCGCGUAGGCGGCCGACCAAGUCGGAGGUGAAAUCCCUCGGCUCAACUGAGGAACUGCCUCCGAUACUGUUCGGCUUGAGUCCCGGAGAGGGUAGUGGAAUUCCGAGUGUAGCGGUGAAAUGCGUAGAGACUCGGAAGAACACCAGUGGCGAAGGCGGCUACCUGGACGGGUACUGACGCUGAAGCGCGAAAGCUAGGGGAGCAAACAGGAUUAGAUACCCUGGUAGUCCUAGCUGUAAACGAUGGGCACUUGGUGUUGCGGGUAUCGACCCCUGCAGUGCCGAAGCUAACGCAUUAAGUGCCCCGCCUGGGGAGUACGGUCGCAAGGCUGAAACUCAAAGGAAUUGAGGGGGCCCGCACAAGCGGUGGAGCAUGUGGUUUAAUUGGAUGAACUCAUAGAACCUUACCUGGGUUUGAAUGCGGUGGACCGCUCCAGAGAU